UACGUAGGGUGCGAGCGUUGUCCGGAAUUAUUGGGCGUAAAGAGCCCGUAGGCGGUGUGUCGCGUCGGCCGUGAAAACCUGCAGCUUAACUGUGGGCUUGCGGUCGAUACGGGCAUCACUGGAGUUCGGCAGGGGAGACUGGAAUUCCUGGUGUAGCGGUGAAAUGCGCAGAUAUCAGGAGGAACACCGGUGGCGAAGGCGGGUCUCUGGGCCGAUACUGACGCUGAGGAGCGAAAGCGUGGGGAGCGAACAGG
rnacentral:rRNA from 1 species